rnacentral:rRNA from 1 species
AUGAAAGAGGAGGAGAAGGAGAAGGCGCCGCCGCACCUGCAUGCCCAUGGCGCCGCCGAAGCCGCCCCUCCCCCUAGGGCGCGACUCGGAGAUGAACAUGGAUCUGCUUCUGUGUAUCGUGUUGGUGCCCUGGAGAAGGCGAUUGCAGGGUUUGCGCAGAGGGAAACAGAGGCCGUGGUCAAUCCUACUGUCGGGAGUUUCUUUGUUUCUCUUGACGAGGCUUAUGAAUUCUACAACAUUUAUUCUUGGGAAUCUGGUUUCGGAGUUAGGUAUGGAGCGAGUAGUAUGGAUUCUCAUGGAACUAAAUGCAUACAGCAAUUUGUUUGCGCGUGUGAGGGUAAACCGUCCAAGGACAGCGAUUCUUUUCGUCGGUGUGAAUGCAAAGCGUCAAUUCUUUUACUGAGAUCCAGAGACGGCGGAUGGCGUGUGUGUGAGCAUCAAGUUGGGCAUAACCAUCCACUUUCUAAGAUGUGUGCGCAGAGGUCAUCUUGGCAGUCUCAUAGUAGUAUUGACAAGAACACAAGGGGCUUGAUUCGUCAACUAAGGGAAAACAAUGUGCCACACAUUGAUGAUAAUGAUGCAAAGAAUCCGCUGUCUGAUGAUAUCCAGAAGACAGAGGAAACCUUUGCUAGGAUCAAAGCAAAGGAUCCAACAUUUGGUUAUACUGGUUUGCAGCUUGAUAGUAACUGGAGAGUAAGGCCAUUACUCUGGACCAGUGGCCAGAGCCUUCAGUACCAAUACUUUGGUAUCUUCGACACCACCUACAGGUCGGACAAGUACGGGACGCCGUUCGGCCUUUUUGUUGGAGUCAACAACAACUUUGAGACCAUAUUGCUUGGUGGGGUGCUGAUGAUAAACGAGAAAAUGGAGAGCUACAAAUGGGUGCUCAGUCAGUUCUUCCAAUUAAUGGGUAGGGAACACCCCAAAACUAUACUGACCGAUCGCUGCGAGGCAAUUGAGGAAGCCGUAUUGGAGGUACUGCCAUCCACCACACACAGAUGGUUCAAGUGGAAUGUGCUUCGCAGGGCAAAGGACUACCUUGGUUUCCAUUACACCAAAACAAGUAGCUUCCGAGUGGGGCUCCACAAAAUUCUGAACGACACGCUGACAGCUGAUGAGUUUGAGAGAGCAUGGGAGAUGCUGCUAGAGGAGCAUGGAUUGGAGAAUCAUCCAUUUCUGAAGGAGAUCUAUGAGGUGCGGCACAAGUGGGUCAAGGCAUACUUCAGCGACACGUUCUGUGCUACACUGACCAGCACACAAAAGAGCGAGAGCGCGAAACACUUUCUGAAACAACAUCAUGUUCCACGGGAUUGCUCUAUGGAGCUUUUCGCCCUACAGUACGAGAAACUGCGGUCCGAUCAACAACCAGACUAUGGGUUUCCGGAGCAGAGUACUACUAAGGAUGAGAUUGUUCUGAGAACAAAUCUACCAAUCGAGAAGCACGCCAGCGAUGUGUACACAAGACCGGUGUAUGAAAAGUUUGUGCAAACCAUACGUGAAUCCGAAUCCGAACCUUACGUGGUGGAGGCAGUCAUCCCCAACCUGAGGUACAUAGCACGGCGUCCAAGCAGUGAAACUAGGGAGAAAUGGUCUAGGGUGGAAUAUGAGGUGAAUGUUAGAGAAGACGGCGAAGCGUUCAUGUGCGUGUGCAAGCAAUUCGAGCACACGGGGAUGCUCUGCUGCCAUGCUGUCAAGGUGAUGAUCCACCUGGGCGUGCGUGAAAUACCAAGGCUACACGUCAUGCCACGCUGGACAGCCAAGCCUCUCCAAUGCCAGAUGCACUGCCGCGGCGAACCUCGGACGGACACGUGCCAGCAAUGCAGGCACUCCGUGCUGCAUGACCAGUUCUUAGACCUAGCGCGCCUCGCCUGUGAGGAUGAUCGGUGCUACGAGGUUGUCAUGAGGGGCAUCGGCAAACUGAACAGAGAAUUGGCGGCAGCAGAGGCCGUGCCCCGCCGCCGCAGCACCAAGCCGGCGCCGUGGAAGCCGAGGAGGAAGCGUUGA